UACGUAGGGGGCUAGCGUUGUCCGGAAUCAUUGGGCGUAAAGCGCGUGUAGGCGGUCCGGUAAGUCCGCUGUGAAAGUCGAGGGCUCAACCCUCGAAUGCCGGUGGAUACUGUCGGGCUAGAGUACGGAAGAGGCGAGUGGAAUUCCUGGUGUAGCGGUGAAAUGCGCAGAUAUCAGGAGGAACACCGAUGGCGAAGGCAGGUCUCUGGGCCGAUACUGACGCUGAGGAGCGAAAGCGUGGGGAGCGAACAAG
rnacentral:rRNA from 1 species